UACGUAGGGGGCGAGCGUUGUCCGGAUUUAUUGGGCGUAAAGAGCGUGUAGGCGGCCAGGUAGGUCUGCUGUGAAAACUCGAGGCUCAACCUCGAGACGUCGGCGGAAACCAUCUGGCUAGAGUCCGGAAGAGGAGAGUGGAAUUCCUGGUGUGAGCGGUGAAAUGCGCAGAUAUCAGGAAGAACACCUAUGGCGAAGGCAGCUCUCUGGGACGGUACUGACGCUGAGACGCGAAAGCGUGGGGAGCGAACAGG
rnacentral:rRNA from 1 species